rnacentral:rRNA from 1 species
GUCUACCACCAUGCUACCUUGAACAAGCCCGAACCUGUCUGAUCUCGGAAGCUAAACAGGGUUGGGCCUGGUUAGUACUUGGAUGGGAGACCACCUAGGAAGAGCAGGUGCUGUAGGCG